GACGAACGCUGGCGGCGUGCUUAACACAUGCAAGUCGAACGGAAAGGCCCUGCUUUCGUGGGGUGCUCGAGUGGCGAACGGGUGAGUAACACGUGAGUAACCUGCCCUUGACUUUGGGAUAACUUCAGGAAACUGGGGCUAAUAUCGGAUAGGAGCUCCUGCUGCAUGGUGGGGGUUGGAAAGUUUCGGCGGUUGGGGUUGGACUCGCGGCUUACCAGCUUGUUGGUGGGGUAGUGGCUUACCAAGGCUUUGACGGGUAGCCGGCCUGAGAGGGUGACCGGCCACAAUAGGACUGAGAUACGGCCCAGACUCCUACAGGGGGCAGCAGUGGGAAAUAUUGCACAAUGAGCGGAAGCCUGAUACGGCGACGCCGCGUUCGGGAUGACGGCCUUCGGGUUGUGAACCGCUUUCGCCUGUGACGAAGCGUGAGUGACGGUAAUGAGUAAAGAAGCACCGGCUAACUACGUG
rnacentral:rRNA from 1 species